AUUUCUUUGAGGAAGUAUCCUUCAAGGCUGGUAAUGGACUCAAGAUCAGAUUUUGGCAAGACAGAUGGCUUGGGAACUCUAGGCUAAAAGACUCUUUCCCCUCCUUGUUCCAGAUAGCCUCCAACAAAGAAGCAACUAUAGCCCAGUACAGAGACAACAACCAUUGGACACCUAUUUUCAGAAGGAACUUCCAGGAUUGGGAGAUUAAUGACCUCCUUUCCCUCUUAGAAACUCUGCAAAACACUACAUUGGUGGUCGAAGAUCAAGACAAGAUUCUUUGGGGUAAUUCUAAGGAGAAGACCUACACGGUGAAAGAAUGUUACAAAAAUUUGAGCUACCAGAAUGGCAUUCUACUA
rnacentral:misc_RNA from 1 species